rnacentral:rRNA from 1 species
GUCCACGCCCUAAACGAUGAUGACUAGUUGUUGGAGGAGUUAAAUCCUUUAGUAACGCAGCUAACGCGAGAAGUCAUCCGCCUGGGGAGUACGGUCGCAAGAUUAAAACUCAAAGGAAUUGACGGGGGCCCCGCACAAGCGGUGGAUGAUGUGGUUUAAUUCGACGCAACGCGAAAACCUUACCUACCCUUGACAUGUACGGAACCUCAUAGAGAUGUGAGGGUGCCCGAAAGGGAGCCGUAACACAGGUGCUGCAUGGCUGUCGU